rnacentral:tRNA from 1 species
ACUAUUUUGGCAGAUAAGUGCCUUAAAUUUAGAAUUUAAUUAUAUAAAUUAAUAUUUAUAAAUAGUA